GGGAGGAGGUGAGGGCCUGAGGGAGGAGGUGAAGGCCUGAGGGAGGAGGUGAGGGUCUGAGACAGAAGUAGAUAGUCUGAGGGAAGGAAGAAGGUCUGAGGGAGAUGAACAGGUCUGAGGAAGGAGGUGGGGGCCUGAGGGAGGAGGUGAGGGUCUGAGGGUGGAGGUGAGGGCCUGAGGGAGGAGAGAGGGCCUGAGGGAGGAGGUGAGGGCCUGAGGGAGGAGAGAGGGUCUGAGGGAGGAGGUGAGGGCCUGAGGGAGGAGGUGAGGGUCUGAGGGAGGAGAGAGGGUCUGAGGGAGGAGGAGAGGGCCUGAGGGAGGAGGUGAGGGCCUGAGGGAGGAGGUGAGGGCCUGAGGGAGGAGGUGAGGGCCUGAGGGAGGAGGUGAGGGUCUGAGGGAGGAGGUGAGGGCGGAGUUGAGCAUCUGAGGGUGGAGGUGAGGAUCUGAGGGAGGAGGUGAGGGCCUGAGGGAGGAUGUGAGGGCUUGAGGGAGGAGGUGAGCAUCUGAGGGAGGGAGGAGAAAGUUGGGGGGAAAAGAAGGGCCUGAGGGAAGAGGAGUUUUGGAAAGGGUCUGAGAGUGGGGGUGAAUUCUGAGGGGGGAGGAGACUUGAGGGAGAAGAUCCGAGGGUCUGAGGGCGGAGG
rnacentral:lncRNA from 1 species